UAAAAUCAGCAUAGUUGGGUAUGGUAUUGCAGUCAGAUGUGAUAGCUCCCAGUCCUUGUGGGAAAGCACCAGACGUUUCACUUUCACCAAUGCUUUCUACAAUUUUCCUGCCGUUCACAAUAGUAGGAGUAUGUUGUUCUGCAUUUUUCCCAGAUGAGUCCACUCUUGGUGUUUACCUCUGCCUCCGGUUCUUCUACAAGAGUAGAGUCCAGCAUUGACUGAAGGACGACUGAAUAGAACCGAUCCUGACACCAUGUCAAAAGAGAAACUAGAGUCACUGGUCAAGAAUAUGGAGAUCAUGCUCUCUGAGGUAGAGCAGCUGAAGAUCCACUGCACCAAGCAGACGGAGGAGGUGAACCAGGUGGUACAGGAGCUGCGCCGGGAGAACAAAGAGCUGACAGAGAAAUAUGAGCACAUCUGUCAGGACUUGAAGGAAGCCAAGGAGGCUAUUGCCCAGUUGCAGGACACCAAGUUUGCAUUUGAGGCAAAGGAGCGGCAAGCACAGAAGCUCAACCGGCAGCUGUGAAGCAGUAGGAAAGAGAAGGAACCUGCUCUAAGAAUAAAGAGAAACCUUCAGCUGCUGCAACCAAAAAUCCCUGGAUCGGUAUUUUAAAGCAACUCUUUCCCUUCCUGCUCUGACUAAACCUGUGUGCUGGAAAAAAAAAAUUUUGUGGAGGCAAGAUCUCAGAUGCAGCUGGAGUUCUGCCCCAGAAGGCUCUUUUGUUAAUGACUAAAUGCCUCAUUAUGCUGGGAGGGAAAUCUUAUUCCAGAAUCCCUUGUCAGAAAUCUGAGCCACAGGCAUACAGCAACGACUGCCAGGAUCUGGGCACCUUCUCAUGCCCUGUGGGGGUUGCACAAGGACAGAAUCCAGGAAAAGAACUGUCUCUGCCUUGAGCCACUGGAGAGAGUUGUGCUGUGAGACUUCAUCGAGACAGAGGGAAGGAUCAUCGUCUUGACAGCCCCUGUUGCUCUGUUUCAUUGCUAGCUUUUUUCUGUGCACAGCCAGGCUGUGAUGCUGUCCUUAGAUGAGCGUCAGCUUCCUCGCUGGCUGACACUGAAGGGCGCCAAUGGGAGCCAACAUUGUGCCUCAAACUUCCAAGUACUUGCUAUCAAGGGCGUGUUGGUCCAGAGGAUCUUUUAAUGCUGUUGCAGUCGAUCUUGUCUUCUUUCAAUUUCAAAGUGAAGUAAAGAACUAGAAUGGUUUCUGUCUCAAUUUCCAUUUCAAUAGAGCUAAAUCUUAAUGACUCCGUGUUCACCAUGCUAGAGUUAAAUCUCUGCUGAAUAUAACACUUUUUUAAACUAAGAGCAUGUUUUGGCACUGAAAUUACUUUUCUUAAGCAGAAGUAGUGUGUAUAAGUGGACUGGAGGUUAGAAGGAUAAAUGUAUGUGGGGCAUGGGUGUGGGAAUUACUUGUCAGAAGUUUUGCUUUCAACUUUUCUCUCUCCUGUCUCUCCUAAAUGGCAUUUGGUGUAGUCGGUGCCAAGUCCAGCUAAGAGCAGGUGACUUCUGACUGCACAGUGAAUAGCAGAUCUCUGCAGGGAGUCUGGAGAGAUUACUGAGAGAAAAAGCUUGGAUGUGUAAACAGAGAAGAGUUGGAAUAGUUCCAGGAGGAUCUUUCUUCAUAUUGGCCGUGUUGUUGUCAGCUUCCUUUUUCUCUUCAGAGCUUUGCUGCAUUGUUAUCACUGCCAGGCAAGCUCUCUCUCUAACAAGGGCUGAAAUUUGUGAGAAGCAGGGAUGCUGUUAUCUGUUUCUGAGGGACUCAGGAUCUGUGUUUCAUCAGGAACAUAGGCAUAGUGUGCUGGGGUGGGGGAGACUAACCAUACUGAGAGCAGCAGUCAUCACCAAGGGGAAAGUGAAGCCUGUCUGCUUUGGUUUUUCCAGAGAACUUCAGGCAGGAGCAGAACAGUUUAGCAAGACCUUUUAGGACUCAGUCCAGCGCUAGUGAAAAUAAUUGUCCUUUCGUCACUGAUUAUAAAGCACCAAGAUCGGGCCUAUAAUUAGCUAGUUAUUGUUUUUUCUCUGCUCUGUCCUCUGCCACUUCAGUCUGGGCCUGAUCCAAAGCCUUUGAAAAUUAAAAUCUUCAGAUUAAUUUGACGGAGCUGUGGUCCAGGCCUUCCAAAUAGAUGGCUGUUGUUUGUCUGGCAAUCAAAUACUGGGACAUCAAUGGGAACAGCUUUGUGAAUCACUGUAAAUAGGAGCUGUGACAACAUGUUUUAUUACAUUUGUGUGCUCUAAACUUUUAUUUUUGCUUUUUUGGGUGGAGCAGAUGGGAAUAUCUAGAAAACAUUUGGGAGAUUGUAGUCUGUUCUUUUCUUUUCAAAUCUAAUCUGAAUAUGAAUGACCAGCCUUGACUCUUUGCUACUUGCUUACCAGUAACAUCUUGGGAAGCAAAAAAGUAAUUAAUCACUGUAUUUGUUUGUAUAAAAACUAAAACUAUAUUCUCUGGGAAUUAAUUUUCUAGCCCAAAUCUGCUUACCACCUGUGCUUUCUUCUACUUUUUAUAUAUUAUUAAAAUGUAAAAUCAACAAUAAAAAGAAAAAAAACACCUGAGGGACCGUCUGUUCUGGAUAAGGUAUUGCCUCAUUUAAUGCUUAUAUAUGUUAUUUCUGAGUGUGUGCACGUGCUUACUAAAAAUAAUUAUUCUAGUGUAAAUCCUCUGCAGCAAGGAAUGGACUAAUGGAGACCCUCCAGAUCUCUCUGUGUUCUCAGGUUAAUCUUUCUAAAUGAGAUUCUCUGUGUGGCUGCCAAAUUCACCCUACGUAAUAUUUAAAUCCAUGAUGCAGAAGAAGAAAAUGGGAUUGCA
ensembl:lncRNA